rnacentral:rRNA from 1 species
UACGUAGGGGGCAAGCGUUGUCCGGAAUCAUUGGGCGUAAAGAGCGUGUAGGCGGCCAGAAAAGUCCGCUGUGAAAACUGGAGGCUCAACCUUCAGAGGUCGACCCAAACCCCCUGGCUAGAGUCCGGAAGAGGAGAGUGGAAUUCCUGGUGUAGCGGUGAAAUGCGCAGAUAUCAGGAAGAACACCCGUGGCGAAGGCGGCUCUCUGGGACGGUACUGACGCUGAGACGCGAAAGCGUGGGGAGCGAACAGG